AGAGCAGUGACCUGGGGAUCUUAUUAAAAUGUAGAUUCUGAUCCAGUCUGUCUGGAGAGGGGCCUGAGGUUCUGCCUUUCUAGCAAGUUCCCAGGUGAUUCCUAU
rnacentral:pre_miRNA from 2 species